rnacentral:rRNA from 1 species
UACAGAGGUGGCAAGCGUUGUUCGGAAUUACUGGGCGUAAAGGGCGCGUAGGCGGCCUUCUUAGUCGGACGUGAAAUCCCCAGGCUCAACUUGGGAACUGCGUCCGAUACUGGAUGGCUUGAGUGCGGGAGAGGGAUGUGGAAUUCCAGGUGUAGCGGUGAAAUGCGUAGAUAUCCGGAGGAACACCGGUGGCGAAGGCGGCUUCCUGGACCGACACUGACGCUGAGGCGCGAAAGCCAGGGGAGCAAACGGG